rnacentral:rRNA from 1 species
UGGGGAAUAUUGGACAAUGGGCGAAAGCCUGAUCCAGCCAUGCCGCGUGUGUGAAGAAGGUCUUCGGAUUGUAAAGCACUUUAAGUUGGGAGGAAGGGCAGUAAAUUAAUACUUUGCUGUUUUGACGUUACCGACAGAAUAAGCACCGGCUAACUCUGUGCCAGCAGCCGCGGUAAUACAGAGGGUGCAAGCGUUAAUCGGAAUUACUGGGCGUAAAGCGCGCGUAGGUGGUUCGUUAAGUUGGAUGUGAAAUCCCCGGGCUCAA